GAUGAACGCUGGCGGCGUGCUUAACACAUGCAAGUCGAACGGGAUCCCAGGAGCUUGCUCCUGGGUGAGAGUGGCGAACGGGUGAGUAAUGCGUGACCGACCUGCCCCAUACACCGGAAUAGCUCCUGGAAACGGGUGGUAAUGCCGGAUGCUCCAGUUGACCGCAUGGUCCUCUGGGAAAGCUUUUGCGGUAUGGGAUGGGGUCGCGUCCUAUCAGCUUGAUGGCGGGGUAACGGCCCACCAUGGCUUCGACGGGUAGCCGGCCUGAGAGGGCGACCGGCCACAUUGGGACUGAGAUACGGCCCAGACUCCUACGGGAGGCAGCAGUGGGGAAUAUUGCACAAUGGGCGCAAGCCUGAUGCAGCGACGCCGCGUGCGGGAUGACGGCCUUCGGGUUGUAGACCGCUUUUGACUGGGAGCAAGCCCUUCGGGGUGAGU
rnacentral:rRNA from 1 species